rnacentral:lncRNA from 10 species
GGAAGUAAGGUUUCUACACUUACUCAAAGUGGCAGUGUCAACACCAGUAGCUUGUGGUAAGUUGUGUAUGUAUGUCAUAAUCUCUAUAGUGACCAAUAAUUUUACAUAAUCUCUCCCAGAAAAUAGGAGGGGAAGGAACACUUACCACCACAUUUUAUGAAGCUAAUAUUACCCUGAUACUAAAACCAGAAAAAGACAGUGAAAAAAAAAAAAAAGAAAGAAAAGUAGAUAUCAAUAUCUUUUCAGCGACUUUUGACCCAAGAUGCGUAGCCCUGGGGCUUUCUGUGCUCCUCGGCCCCUUGGUCUCCACGCAGAGGCUCCUGGGCUCACUCUCUCCUCCCAUCUCCUCUUCUAGGAAGCAUUGAUGCGGCUGUCCAGCCUGUUGGAUCAGCUGCAACCCACCCUGGUAUGGACUGAGGGGUCUCCCUGGGCUGGGCCGAGCAGGAGGAGGCUGAGCAGUGAAAACGGUGACCCCUGCCCUCACGGAGCUAACGAGAAGAGCAAAUGGCUGGCAACGGUGCAUGACACAGAAUGAGCAACGGGCUGCACACAUCGCGAUUUACGUGGCUUUGGAAAAAACGCGUCUCACAAGUUGGGGCUGUCAUACAUUGGCUUCUUGGUAAUCAAUGCGUUUCAGCAAUAUAUGGGGGUGAGUUUAGUUUCCAGUUGGCUUCCCUGAGGGUGUUGGAUAAAAUUGCAAUUUAGAUUCAAUCAAUACACAUUUAGUGAGCACCUAUUCUUUGCCUGAACGAUUGUGGGCAUUGUGGGGGAUACAAAGGGAGACAUCGUGGGUGGAGCUUACCAUGGAAACAACUGUCUCUUGCUCCAUGGUGUUUACCUUGCCUUGGAAAAUAAACAACGUAAACAUUUUUUUGUGACAACGGAGACAGGAUUGAGAGACUUGCACAGACUUCCUUUCCCAAAACUUCUGCAGACUAAAAUUCUACCAUUAGCUAUUAAUUUCUUUGACUAAAUUUUGUCCUCACUCUGCAGUUUCUUUUUUCUAAAGUAAAAAUACUUCUAGAAAGAGAACACGACGUCCUUAACCUCUUAAAACAGAAAUGACAUAUAAAUCGACUUGCACACCAAUUUGGGCCCUUGGAUAUUUGUUGCCUGAAGAGCUGUGUUGAAAAGGCCUCUGAGGCUCAAUCUGGCCUCUGAUGCAAAGAAUGUCGAUCGAUUGCUGAUGUCUGCCCUGAGUGCUGGAAGGGAGGAUGGCAUUUACUAUCCCUGCCUUAAAUUAGAGGAGCUUAUGGGGUUCUUCCCCAACUAUAACAAGAGGGGUUAAAUGAACACUAAUCAUCUGAUAGGACAGCCACUGAAGGAGGUGAGGGGAAUUUAAGAAGGAAAGGCUGUGACUGCCAAUCUCCUAAUGUCACCUGCAUGGCCGUCAGUCACCUGCAGCCCUUGUCAGUGCACCCAAAGCCUUUGCAGAUGUCAACCCAGCUGGCUUUCCAGCCAUGUCUCACCAUACCCCAGUGCUCCUCUGCUCCAGCCCCACUGAACUCUGCCAGACCUGGACGUGCCCUUAUACAUGUGCUUCCUAGACAUCCCAGAACAUCUGUGCCCAUUGUCUCUGCACAGGGAAUUCUUAUGUAACUCCAUGAACACCUACCCUAAGUGUCACUUCCUGUGAGAAGUCCUCCCUGAUUCACUCCCUCCUCUGUUUACCCACCCACUGGAGACCCAGCUCUGCAUGGCAGUCUUCACACUCUAUCAUCUUUGUCCUUCCUUCUUUUUUUUUUGAGUCAAGCUUUCACUCUGUCGCUCAGGCUGGAGUGUAGAUCACAGCUCGCUGCAGCCUCCAACUCAGCUAAAGCGAUCCUUCCUCCUCAGCCUCCAGAGCAGCUGGGACUACAGGUGCAUGCCACCAUGCCCAGGUAAUUUUUUUCUUUUUUGUAGAGACAGGGUCUUGCAAUGUUGCCCAGGCUGGCCUCGAACUCCUGGCCUCAAGCACCUCCCACUUCGGCCUCCCAAAGUGCUGGGAUUAUAGGCAUGAGCCACUGUGUCCAGCCCAUCCUUGUCCUUUCACAUGUGUCACCUUUCUCGUGAGACUAAGAGGUCUGUGGGAGCAGGGUUAGUGCCUGGUCUCUGUGAUCCAGUCCCCAGCCCCAGGCCUGACACACAGCUGGUGCUCAACAACCACUGGCUGAAUAUUGGAAUGAAUAAAUGAACGAACUUUGUCAGUGUGGCAGAUGCUAUGCCUAUGCUGAGACUGCUGUUUUUUCACAUGCCCCUGCUUCUCCUGUGUUCCUGCAGUAGCACACUGCCGGUGGUAAAUGAAUCCCCAAGUAUGAAUGCUUCACAGAACAAAGUUUAAUUUCCCCUCCCACAAAGUCCAGUGCAGAUUGUGCAGCCCUCCGGAACACUUGUCUUGGUAUUAACCACAUCUUUUAUUUCCUGCAUUCCAAUGCUCUGACAUCUGGGGCCUCGCUGACCCCCUAGAGUUAGCCAAUUUCUAGAGAUACAAGUUGCCAUGACAGCACUUUUCAGAUGCAAACAACCCACCCAAACCAAACAAAGCCUUCUUUUCCCUCCACCUCCUAACUGACCUUGGUGCUUCCCCGUGUGGCUCUGUGUGGCGUGGCAGGCGGUGUCCCCUCCUCCUGGGAACUGCUUCCACUGAGUGACUCAGCGAUCCAGUCUGCUUUCAUAGGUGGCUCUAAUGAGGCAGAAAUUUAAAAAUAAAUAUGCAUUCAUUCACUCCAAGAAAAGUAACAGGCAAGGGUUCACAAGAAAAAAAGAAGUUUUCCUCUGCCUAGCAAGCACACUUCAAGGACAGUUAUAAGAUAAUGCUGUACGAGCAGCCAAGGCCAAAGGAAUGGGCUUCAGACACCCCUCUCCCCCAGAGCAAUGUUGAAGGAAAAAAAAAGAGAAAAAGAUAAAUUACUUUACUGUUACUCCUUUCCCAGGCUUCUUAAACGUGAUUAUGUUUUACAAAUGUCUGUAUUUAGCCAGUUCUUGUUUUUCUUUUGACGCAGCUACAAGGCCACAAAUUAUACACUAUAUGAUUAACUGCUUUUGUUUUACUUUUGUAAGUCUGCUUAUAAAAACCCCACUCAGUCGUUGUUCAAUGCUCAGCUUUUUGGAUGCGAAUCCACUGAGCCAGUGCGUACCUAAAAUAAACAAUCCUCCCGUUCUCCGUAUCGGUCUC